UACGAAGGGGGCUAGCGUUGCUCGGAAUCACUGGGCGUAAAGCGCACGUAGGCGGCUUUUUAAGUCAGGGGUGAAAUCCUGGAGCUCAACUCCAGAACUGCCUUUGAUACUGGGAAGCUUGAGUCCGGGAGAGGUGAGAGGAACUCCGAGUGUAGAGGUGAAAUUCGUAGAUAUUCGCAAGAACACCAGUGGCGAAGGCGGCUCACUGGCCCGGUACUGACGCUGAGGUGCGAAAGCGUGGGGAGCAAACAGG
rnacentral:rRNA from 1 species